rnacentral:lncRNA from 1 species
UCUGUCAUUUCAGCAGAUUGUUUUUUACAGUGUGUCUCUGAUCUCUGCUGGGGUCUCAAGGUGUUGCAGUAAGAUAAUUUGUAAUGGGUAAAAUGACAAACAUCCAUCAGUCCCUACAAUGAUUUUUUACAAGGCUAUCAACACACCUAUUUGAAAACUGUCCCAAUUAUUUGGCUUUCAAAGGCAGACCUAGGCCUUCUGUACUGAGGUUUUUGCAAUAUUUCAUUUGAUGAUUUCUGCACAAAAUUUUGCAAUCACAUUAAUCAUUGGAGUAACUUCCAUAAUUUUAUAAAACCAAAAUAAUAAAUGCCAUCACCACUAAAACAGUGUAAUUCACUUAAUGGUGUUGCAUCCUUUUAAAGUCAGUAGUACACUAGAGUCUGUCCUUCCUUGCUGUUAUACUGGAACCACAAUGUAAAAAUGCACUGUUGCCUUCGCAGGAAAAUAUUAAAAGAGAGUGCUUUAUCUCUUUUACUCCUUUGACCUCUCCCUCCCAGCAAUAACUAGCUUACUGUAGCUGUAUUCUUCCUCUCUUAAAGCAAAAGCAAUUAAUCUGCUUUCAAGAUUUGCAGAAUCUCAUAUUUCAAAAAGUACCUGGUUUUGCUUAGAAUGGCCUUGUUGUCAUCAUGCGAUUGAAAAAUGAUCUGAAACUUUUUAUCAAAGAUCAAACAAACCCAAACUGUACUUACCAUUAGCUAAGUAUUUGGCCUGGGCUGAGUCAUUCCACCACAUACGGGGCUGGUGAGCUCAGUAUCUUCCCUGAUCAGCACUGGAGCGUGGCACCCACAGGUUGAAUUAGACUGCAACAUGUCUCUCAAGCUACGGUUUUCACAGUUCAGAUCAGCAGACUUCACAAUCUUCCACAUCACAGAUCUGUGUAAGUAUCAGGGAAAAUGUGAAGGGGAAAGUGCUGCUCAGAUACAACAGGGAAACCGUUAGUGGUCAUCACUGUGGGGCAGACCAAGGUAAUGCUAAUAAAACAGGGAACUCCGAGAAAGAGGCAGACAAAUGGGUUGGAUACAUCAAGAUAUUUCUCCUCCCAUCAUCACACUGUUUCAGCAUUUCAGUUCUGGAGAUAUUUCUGCUGAAGGUCAUAGGAGCACAGCGCUGGGAAAAGUUAUCUGGUUCUCUUCUCUCAAUCUAUUAUGUCUUUCCUGUGUCUGGGCCUCUGAUGGAUGACAGCAUGUAAGAGAAAAUAGAAAGUCCCACAUUUUCCCAUCCAAGAGGAGGCUUUCUUAGUGAGGGCCUGGCCACCCAAGCCUGUCUGUUCCCAAUGCCCUGCAGUGGCAGUCACUUGUCACUCUUCUGCAGGGGCCCUCCCUGUGCAGAUUUCCAUCUCAUGCCUGAACGUGCCAGAAAUGCUUCACAGUGUGACUGCUCCUUCCUACCUCCUCAGCAGAAAAACUCAUCUCCAGGGAGACGGGAGUUUCAUGCAUGACACUUUAUCUGUCUUCCAGCAGCCUUUGGGCAGUGAUUACCAAGGAUAUCAAAUGCCCUCUCUGAUGCAAGUACUUUCAUUGCUUUUCCACCCUCUAACGCUGAGUUUGUGAAGGAAUUCAGCUCUUCAUGCAGCAUCUCCACAAACAUAGAAAAUGAAGAGUUUUGAUCAAACAAGGGAUUUCAAGCUGUAGGCCACACCCUGUGCUGUGAAUGGUCUUUUAAGCCUGAAAAAAUGCAUAUUGAGGUGGUCGUCUUGAACAGAAACUGCACCGUACAUUUUCCAUCUUGGUUGGUGAUGAUCGUACUUGAGAUAUUAAAUUGCACAGGGGGGGUGGGGAGACUGGGGAAGUUGGGGAGCUGUCAGGCCAGCUCCCUGACAGAAGUAAGGAGAUGCUAGAGGGGUUGCCAGGUGAAGACCAAACCUACCAAAAAUGCCAGAGAGGGACCCUCCCCAGGCCUUUCCCCAUGGGCAGGGGCUGCAUAAGGUGGGAUAGGCAUGUAGACACAAAAGGAGGGCAGGUCUGGCUGUACUCACAGCAGCAUUGGAGCAGCCUGGUGUGGUUGAGGUGAACCCUGGAAAAGCAGCCAUGUUUUAAAUGAUCUGAGGCUCACUCUUACCAAGUAUUAAGAGAUUUCCUACAAGCACUGGAGCUGAUCUGGGGAUUUCUUUAGCAGCUGCUUAUUUAAGAAUCAGCCAUUGUCCUUCCUUAAUCUGAAUUCAGAUCAAGCCAGCCAGUAAUGUUUCUGCUACCAUCAUUAAAUGUCUUACUUUUAAUUCAUUUGCAGCAAGGUAACAUAUACAAUGAAUAUGGGGUCAUAGCACAGCCUUGACACUGAAUUGUGAAGAACACAGGAUUUCUUUAUUGAGCAUAUCAAGCAAGGGAUUCUUGCAGUGCAUUGCUACAGGUAUAAAGGGAAGGUGCAUUAAUUUCAGCAGUUGGGAGAUCUUUUUAAAGUUGGUUUUCUUGUCCAUCUUUUUGUCCAGAUUCUCAUACCUCUUUACAACUAUUUUCAGAAAAAAAUGAAAAAAAAAAAUGAAAAAAAAAGAAGAGUAGACGCUGCAGAGUCUGAAUCUGUAUAAGGUCAGCUGUGCUUGCUAGAGUGUAAUUUUCACUUAUUAAUGUGAAUAGAAGACAGCUAUAAGUCUGCAGCUAAAUUUAAAUUUAGGUGUUGGAGCAAUAUAAUUGCUACUUUGAAUUGUAUGAUAUUGCUUUAAAAUUAAUGAUUAUUAAAGAUUACUUGUUCUGUGUUUUUGUUUGUUUGUUUGUUUUACUUUGUUUAGGUUUCUUUUAAAGAGCAGGUUCCAUUACAUUUCUAAGUACAAUAACCUAAGACCAUGUCAACAAACUGUGUAACUACAGACAUUUCCAUCCUAGCACAGAACAUAACUUAGCCUGAACUCUAAGAUUAUGAAUUUUAAGGGAAAAUAAGUGUUUUCUUCAAAUACCCCUAGGAGGAUGGCAACAGGGGGAGAAGGAUUAUGUUUAUUGUUUAUAAUUAACUACAUCACAGUUGAAAGUUAAUUUUGAUUUAGAUAAACCACCCACUGAAUAUCAAGUUACUUCUCAAGAUUCUCACCCCUUUCAGAGCCUAUCUGUCUCUGUGGGUCUUGAGACUAACUGCUGUUAAGCCUCUCUACUUGUAACAGGUGGUUCUGGCUAAAAGUCUAACAACCCUGGUGCUACAGGGUGGGGCAAGAUAUAUUUUUGCUAUUUAUAUGAGAUAAGAAGUUGUAAGUCUGAUCCAGGCCCAUGUUUGGAUUGCCUAAGAAAGGGUCCUUUUGAGUGUAGGGUAUGUAUUCUGGUGUAGAAAGAAAUGAAAAAGUGAAACAUUACCACACACUUGUCGUCAUGAAGAAAUGUUUGCAUUGCAGAUCCCUAGUAAGAAGUGAUAAAUUCUUCAGCAUGCAAAGACUAAGCAUAUAACAGAACAAACUUCUCUGAGGACCCUGUGCAUUUGAAGUGGUAAAAGCUGUGAUUUCAAUGCUGUGAUUGCAGAUGUGUGUGUAAAGAAAUACUGAACAUGGAAGAUCUAUGCUCCAUGACAAAUGGUAGCUGUGGUUGUGUCUUUCCUUUGGGACAAGGCAGAAGAAUGAUGACUCCUCAUAUUCACUGUACUUUGCUUAGGCUAAUUACUAGGAACUACAUGAAUUUGCAAUGAAUUUGCAAUAAAUAAUUUAUCCAACAUACCGAAGUCUCA